ACAAAGUGAAGAGGAUGAAUGAAGGCACAGGAAUAGGAUGGAUUAGCCAAAGAAUAGCUGCUUGAAAAUUUCACAACAAAGAAUGAAAUUUCCCUAAGACAGAGCUGAAAAUGCAGUAGUUGAACUAUUUGGCACUUGUUAGUCAAAUAGUGGAAUGCGAUGUGUGAUUCUGGAAUUUAUGAAGAUUUAUUGGAUAAUAUCUUAUACAUGAAUUCAGAAAGAAAUAUUGCUUUCUCCUUGGAGUUGAUUAAUUCUUUCAAGAACUGGGCCACUAGAAGAGUUUAAGGUAGAGAACUGCGGGAGCCUAGAAGCUGAAGCAGAGAGCGAGUAGGGGUACAGUCAGUUUAAAUACCCAUUUUGUUCUCGGCCCAGGAAAGUGAAAACAUCCUUUGUAACUUACUUUUCCUGAUGGGAGUGAAGAAUGUGACAAUGUUAAUUCCCUCCUAUAUUCAUGGAUAUGCGGACAAAGAAUUACUAGUACACUUUAAGCUCCAGUCAAAUACCAAUGGAUGGGGGUUGAAAGUAGUGGCUAGCAGUGCCAAGGUAAGUAGGCAUAUCAUCUCUGUAAAUCUCUAG
ensembl:lncRNA